rnacentral:lncRNA from 1 species
GGAGACACUGUCUCUAAAAAAAAAAAAAAAAAAUUAGCCUCAGCAUGGUGGUGUGGACCUGUAGUCCCAGCCACUCAGGAGACUGACAGGCAGGAGGAUCUGCUUGAGCCUAGGAGUUCCAGGCUGCAGUGAGCUAUGAUUGCACCACUGCAUUCCAGCCUGGACAACAGAGCAACACACUGUCUCAGAAAAAAAGAGAGAGAGAGAGAUAACACUGGUGGAUGAUAGGAAGAGCAAUUGACAGCACCAUCUCUGGGCUUCUCACAAGUUUAUACAACACAUCUGCUUCCUAUUACAAUUCAGAUACCUACAGCCGCUGAGAGCCGGUAUUCCAACGCCAUGAGACGCCUUCUGUUGUGAGCAGUUGACAAGAGAGACCCAGCACUUACUGCAACCGGAAGGAGCGGUUCCUCCCUCGCUCGCGCAGCCGCUCUUCCCCGCCACUCCCUCGGUGCCCGCCAGCACAUUCCCAGCAAGCCCUGAGUAUAUUUGCAUAUCAACUCACUACAUUUUUCUUCUAACUAAAAAAUCGAAAGGACAAAUUCUAGAUUCUCCUUGUGAAGUCUUCCUUUCAGUUCAGAAGAAAUGGAAUUCGCUCUUCAACUUCAGGAAGUUGAAAUAAAGAGUUGCUUGGAUUUUUGUGUUCACCUUUACCAAAAAAUGGAUUUGGUAACACUGCCACCCUGC